rnacentral:rRNA from 1 species
AUUGAACGCUGGCGGCAUGCUUUACACAUGCAAGUCGAACGGUAACAGCACUUCGGUGGCUGACGAGUGGCGCACGGGUGAGUAAUACAUCGGAACGUGCCUAGUAGUGGGGGAUAACUACUCGAAAGAGUAGCUAAUACCGCAUGAGAUCUAAGGAUGAAAGCAGGGGACCUUCGGGCCUUGCGCUACUAGAGCGGCUGAUGGCAGAUUAGGUAGUUGGUGGGAUAAAAGCUUACCAAGCCGACGAUCUGUAGCUGGUCUGAGAGGACGACCAGCCACACUGGGACUGAGACACGGCCCAGACUCCUACGGGAGGCAGCAGUGGGGAAUUUUGGACAAUGGGCGCAAGCCUGAUCCAGCAAUGCCGCGUGCAGGAUGAAGGCCUUCGGGUUGUAAACUGCUUUUGUACGGAACGAAAAGCCCUCUUCUAAUACAGGAGGGUCAUGAAGGUACCGUAAGAAUAAGCACCGGCUAACUACGUG